AAAAGACCAAAACUUAACCAGAUGCUCCGCAGGGCGUAGCUUUAUACGACCGCAGAGGUUGAACCCUGAACGGUUAGGGCAAGUAUGGACACAACAUUCAAGCUGGAUUCAGCUCUAAAUUUGGAUUGUGAUUAAAUAGUUGACACAGCAUAGGUUUCUGACACAGAAUGAAUGUGUUCUAAUGAACUUAAAAAUUUUGUUUUCUCUUAGAGCAAUUCACUAUGCUGUUGAAUAUUAAUCCUCUCAAAAAAAUGUUUGAAGAAAUUUUCUUUUUUAUUUUAUGAAA
rnacentral:lncRNA from 1 species